ensembl:lncRNA
ACUUUGAAGCAAAGGUUUUCUUUGAGUAAUAGUGUAAUCGAAUUUGAUAAUCAGCUAUCAAUGUAUCUGAACAACAGUUACACAAAGUAUUUCUUAUAUAAGAUGGUAAUCACCAGCAGACUGUACAUAACAUGCCUGCUCUAGAUCACAAUACCAAAACAGGAAGAUAAAUAAUUCUACUGACUGCUACCUCAUUUAAAUGAGUCAGACAGGCUUGACAUGCUAAAUUGGUGGAUAAAAACGACUGCUCCGUAUGGGAGGGCUGGUUUGUACUUCUACAACAUUUCUGAUGAGUACUAGCAAGACAACAAAAUGCUUUUCAACAAGACAACACAUUUCAAAACCAGGCCCUAAGUGAAAGUAACUGGGUACCAUGUCAAGGUAGAAUUCUGGAUAUGGUAGGCUGUGCUCCCAAAUAGUUAGCCCCUGCCACACAUCCAUCCCCAUAAUGACAUGGUUUCCCCCAGUGGGAGUGUCACUGAAAGUGUAUAAGAUUCAGCCCUCUGAAUACUGAGUUAGUCAAAUCAAUUUGUCUGCGUUUGACCUGCAGUCACUUCCAAACUACAAGUUGGAAUCCCUGUGUGAGACCUGGCACCGCGUGCCAACAGCAUCCCCUCUACUGUGCCUGAGGUGGAGACAGGCUUCAGAGGGUCUAUAUCAAGACAAUACAGAAGGGAAAUGGAAAGGAGAACGGGAACAUUAAGUUCUCCUGUCAUUAAAUUGUCUUCACCUAUAGGCACGUAAGUGGGUCUUCCUUUGUUCCCAGUAGGAAAAAAAGCAAGAACUUUUGUCUUGUUUUAAUUUCCAGUGAACAGGGUGUACUUUUAGGCUGAAAAGAAAAAGCACCAGUGAUGUAAUGAGACACUGCGAGAGCUCUAAAAUUAGCAGAAGAGCCCUGAGUAGCCGUGGUAUGCCAUGAAUGAAAACAGCCUCAGAAGAAGAAGAAACUAUAGGGACAUUGUGUGUGUGUGAGUGCCACUGCUCUCAAUUUCCAUUCAAUUACAGAAGCAUGUGUUUCAGCCAUUGGUGCACCUGAGCACCAGAUUUCUGCGUGAGAAAAAGGAAGACGACAAAAAUCAAUACAUUGACAUUAAGAAGACAGAUAGACUCUCCCCUGUAAUUCUCAUCUCCAAAGUGUUAUCAUAGCUCUCUCUGAACUACCUCGGCACACAAAAAAGAAAAUCG